UCCGAGUUGACCCCGGCAGUCUCCCAUGAGUCCCCGGCACUACCCGCUGGCAACACGGGGCAAGGGUUGCGCUCGUUGCGGGACUUAACCCAACAUCUCACGACACGAGCUGACGACAGCCAUGCACCACCUGCACACCAGCCACAAGGGAACGCCCAUCUCUGGACGCGUCUGGUGCAUGUCAAACCCAGGUAAGGUUCUUCGCGUUGCAUCGAAUUAAACCACAUGCUCCACCGCUUGUGCAGGCCCCCGUCAAUUUCUUUGAGUUUUAACCUUGCGGCCGUACUCCCCAGGCGGAUAACUUAAUGCGUUAGCUGCGCCACCAAAAGCCUAAGGCCCCUGACAGCUAGUUAUCAUCGUUUACGGCGUGGACUAC
rnacentral:misc_RNA from 1 species